rnacentral:rRNA from 1 species
CCNNUUUGUAGCAAUACAAGGCAGACGGCUCANUANCGCGUAGUCAACCUAACCUAUGGACGGGAAUAACCUCGGGAAACUGAGAAUAAUGCCCGAUAGAACACUAUACCUGGAAUGGUUUGUGUUCCAAAUGAUUUAUCGCCGUAGGAUGGGACUGCGGCCUAUCAGUUUGUUGGUGAGGUAAUGGCCCACCAGGACUAUUACAGGUACGGGCUCUGAGAGGAGUAGCCCGGAGAUGGGUACUGAGACACGGACCCAGGCCCUAUGGGGCGCAGCAGGCGAGAAAACUCUGCAAUGUGCGAAAGCACGACAAGGUUAAUCCGAGUGAUUUGUGCUAAACGAAUCUUUGUUAGUCCUAGAAACACUAACGAAUAAGGGGUGGGCAAGUUCUGGUGUCAGCCGCCGCGGUAAAACCAGCACCUCAAGUGGUCAGGAUGAUUAUUGGGCCUAAAGCAUCCGUAGCCGGCUCUGUAAGUUUUCGGUUAAUCUGUACGCUUAACGUACAGGCUGCCGGGAAUACUGCANANCUAGGGAGUGGGAGAGGUAGACGGUACUCGGUAGNANGGGUAAAUCCUUUGAUCUAUUGAUGACCCCUGUGGC